rnacentral:rRNA from 1 species
UACGAAGGGGGCUAGCGUUGCUCGGAAUCACUGGGCGUAAAGGGUGCGUAGGCGGGUCUUUAAGUCAGGGGUGAAAUCCUGGAGCUCAACUCCAGAACUGCCUUUGAUACUGAGGAUCUUGAGUUCGGGAGAGGUGAGUGGAACUGCGAGUGUAGAGGUGAAAUUCGUAGAUAUUCGGAAGAACACCAGUGGCGAAGGCGGCUCACUGGCCCGGUACUGACGCUGAGGUGCGAAAGCGUGGGGAGCAAACAGG